rnacentral:ribozyme from 1 species
AAAAAAAAAAAAAAACACACUCAGACACAUAUCCUUAUUUUCAAUGUCCAUGUCGUUUGAUCACUUUUUUCUUUGACUCGCGGAGUAAUUUCUGAGAGAAGGGUGCUCAUGGUAUGAUGACGAGCAA